rnacentral:lncRNA from 1 species
CGGAGCAGCUCAACCAUCCCAUUGGCGUCGAUUUUUUUCGGGUACCACUAAAAUACCGGCACCGGAAUACACUCGGUACAAUAUACCGUUGUCUGGCCUCUUCUUGUCUCUGUGGGGUCCGGUGACCGUCCCAAGCGCAUCAAUUAACCCGCUCACACCCGGACCGUCUAUGUGGGGUCCGGUGACCACCGCCCCAACCGCAUCAAUUAAGCCGCUCACGCCCGGACCAGAACAAUGACUGGUGGUUAUCCUCCAUUCCCACUGGUCGAGUGGUGCUUUCCCCUGACACAAACCCACUCAGUCCCCACUUUCCGGUUGUCUCCACUCUUUCUUGGGCGACUGCUGUCUCUUUUGCGGACGCUGAGCUGGGAAUCCCCCGAGGAAAGCUUCAGGGCACGUUUUGCUUUUCUUUUUUUCGGGAAAAAAAUGUCUUCCUGCUUCACCUACUCUUGUUAGUUGAGAUAUUUAGACUUUAGGCUCGCCCAUUUUCCCACAAACCAGACCGCCCUGUUUUAAUAUUGUCCAAAAAACUCUCAUAUUGACCAAGUUUUUUCAUGGUAGAUUAAAGAUGAAGAACAGCAAGAAGAAACAAAACAGAGACUGA